GCGAGCGUAGCCAAGUGGUUAAGGCAGCGGGUUGUGGUUCCGCUAUGCGCGGGUUCGAUUCCCGUCGUUCGCC
rnacentral:tRNA from 1 species